AGUGGCAAACGGGUGAGUAUAAUGUGGGAAUCUGCCUUUUGGUUCGGAAUAACACGAGGAAACUUGUGCUAAUACCGGAUAAGCCUUUACAGGGAAAGUUUUAAUGCCAAAAGAUGAGCCCGCACUUGAUUAGCUAGUUGGUAAGGUAAUAGCUUACCAAGGCAACGAUCAAUAGCUGUUCUUAGAGGAAGACCAGCCACAUUGGGACUGAGACACGGCCCAAACUCCUACGGGAGGCAGCAGUGGGGAAUCUUGCACAAUGGGGGAAACCCUGAUGCAGCGAUGCCGCGUGAGUGAAGAAGGCCUUUGGGUUGUAAAACUCUUUCGUCGGGGAAGAAAAUGACUGUACCCGAAUAAGAAGGUCCGGCUAACUUCGUGCCAGCAGCCGCGGUAAUACGAAGGGACCUAGCGUAGUUCGGAAUUACUGGGCUUAAAGAGUUCGUAGGUGGUUAAAAAAGUUGAUGAUGAAAUCCCAAGGCUCAACCUUGGAACUGCCAUCAAAACUUUUUAGCUAGAGUAUGAUAGAGGAAAGUGGAAUUUCUAGUGUAGAGGUGAAAUUCGUAGAUAUUAGAAAGAACAUCAAAAGCGAAGGCAACUUUCUGGAUCAUUACUGACACUGAGGAACGAAAGCAUGGGUAGCGAAGAGGAUUAGAUACCCUCGUAGUCCAUGCCGA
rnacentral:rRNA from 1 species